UGCCACGUGGAAGCCGAAGCCACACCUCCUACAGGGCCCCUCCCACCAGCCAGGCACCUCAGAUGAGAGCUACACCCAGGCUAGCACCAGCAGCUCAGCCGCCAGCAGUGGCACCCCCAUCUGCAGUUGGCUCUCCUGCUCCUGCACCCCGGCAGCCAAGUCUGAUGGCCCAAAUGGCAACCACUGCAGCUGGCGUGGCUGUAGGCUCUGCUGUGGGUCACACACUGGGUUAUGCCCUCACUGGGAGCUUCAGUGGAGGAAGUAAUGGUGAGCCUGCAAAACUUGACAUCACUUACCAGCAGCAUCAGGGAACCUGGCCAGCACAGCAGCAGCAGCCUUGUUUCCAUGAGAUCAAACAGUUUUUGGAGUGUGCCCAGAACCAGGGUGACACCAACAAGCUCUGUGGGGCUUUCAAGAGGUUCUCAAACAGUGCAGACUUGCAAACAGAUAGGCC
rnacentral:lncRNA from 1 species